rnacentral:rRNA from 1 species
AUGCAUCCCGAGAUCAAAGUCUUUGUGUGGUUACUGCAUAGAAAUAAUGUGUUAACCAGAGAUAACUUCGCCAAAAGAGGUUGGUCUGGUGAUCAGGGGUGCCCUUUUUGUGGCAGACAGGAAACUGUUGAUCACCUACUUCUUCAAUGUUUAGUUGCUAGAAUGCUUUGGAAUGUUAUGAAAUGCACUUUGAAUUUGAUAGUAUUCCUAAUAUUGUACAUGAGAUAA